rnacentral:rRNA from 1 species
UGGCCUUGACAUACUAAGAACUUUCCAGAGAUGGAUUGGUGCCUUCGGGAACUUAGAUACAGGUGCUGCAUGGCUGUCGUCAGCUCGUGUCGUGAGAUGUUGGGUUAAGUCCGCAACGAGCGCAACCCUUUUCCUUAUUUGCCAGCGGGUAAUGCCGGGAACUUUAAGGAUACUGCCAGUGACAAACUGGAGGAAGGCGGGACGACGUCAAGUCAUCAUGGCCCUUACGGCCAGGGCUACACACGUGCUACAAUGGUCGGUACAAAGGGUUGCUACCUCGCGAGAGGAUGCUAAUCUCAAAAAGCCGAUCGUAGUCCGGAUCGCAGUCUGCAACUCGACUGCGUGAAGUCGGAAUCGCUAGUAAUCGCGGAUCAGAAUGCCGCGGUGAAUACGUUCCCGGGCCUUGUACACACCGCCCGUCACACCAUGGGAGUUUGUUGCACCAGAAGUAGGUAGUCUAACCGCAAGGAGGACGCUUACCACGGUGUGGCCGAUGACUGGGGUGAAGUCGUAACAAGGUAGGCGUAGAUGA